GGAAGUGCUGCCUAUGUGAAAAGCCCACACUCCAGGAAUGCCCAGGUUGCUGUGUCUAAACAGAAAGGAAAAAAGAUAUUGUAGCAUACGUGUCCACCCACCACCUUCUUACAAAGAUUUUACUAAAGAAAACUUCUUCUGCCAGUCAUUCUGGCCCCCUAUCUUCCACUUUCAAUCAAGCAACUCGGAGGUUUCUAGGAAGCAUGAAAGACAAAGAUGAGCGCUUGGAUGAUGUCUGAAAAGCAGAGAAUCCAUGGGCUCCAGAGAAGAGGGUGGUGAAGCCAGGGCAGAAAAAGCAAGGAGCUAAGUUUUCUCCAGAGUCAAGACUAAAAGGCAGCCUCAGUGGAGCCCAUAAG